rnacentral:ncRNA from 2 species
ACCCUAGCGACGCUUGAUGGUUCUGCCCCAAAGGCAGAGGCAAGAGGGAAGCAGGUACGCCCACGGGCUACUCCUGCGCUGCCCCCGCAACUGUGAACGGCGAGUUCACCUGCAAUUGAAGUCACUGGCCUGAUCGGCUGGGAAGACGCAGGUGCACAUUGACCCGUGAGCCAGGAGACCUGCCAUCAGCGUGCCGAUCCC